rnacentral:misc_RNA from 1 species
GAGAGAGAGAGAGAGAGAGCUUAACCUAACCCAACUAGAACUAUUAGUACGCAAACACAUUCUCGAAGUUAGGCAUGUUAAGACAAAGGCGACACUAGAGAAUAAUCUGCCUUUGAUCACUUGUCAUGAAUAUUUCAACGUCAUGGCAUAAGAAGUGGCCGCCAUUGACAAGUAACCUUAACAUGCCAUGUAAAUGUUCAGCAUGGCUCUGAACUAUGAAAGUAAGUUGUGCUCUUUAGUUUGGCCUGCAAUCAAGUGCUGCAUUGCUAUUCCACACAAGCUAAGAUUAAUUUCAAUUCCAAGGCUCCAAAAUAAGCAACAGCUCAUUUUACCAGCCAAAAUAAAUUAUUAAACCUUGGCAUUAAUGUAGUCCAAGGCAUAUUAGAAAUUUUCACCCGUCACAUAAAAUGGAUGACAAUUUUACUUUGUAACACUAUGUCCCUCAUAGAUUUUAAUUAUCUAAAUGCUUGAUAAAUGCUAAUGAAAAGCGUUAGCUUCAUUAAACUAAAAUUAUAAGACAUUCUAAAGCAAGUAGCAACCAAAGCAAUACUGAUAAAUUUUGAAGGUGCUGACAAUUGAAGGUCACCAAAAAGUAAAGGAUCAUCAAUAAUAUAAUUA